GCCUCUGUGGAUUAAUCGGCAACUCAGCUCUGUUCAGUUCUGCGUUUACCGGAGACCAUUGCGAGAGUUGAUGUGGGUUCGAAUCCCACCAGAGGCA